rnacentral:rRNA from 1 species
UACAGAGGUCUCAAGCGUUGUUCGGAUUCAUUGGGCGUAAAGGGUGCGUAGGCGGCGCGGUAAGUCGGGUGUGAAAUCUCGGGGCUUAACUCCGAAACUGCAUUCGAUACUGCCGUGCUUGAGGACUGGAGAGGGCAGCAGAAUUCCCGGUGUAGUGGUGAAAUGCGUAGAUAUCGGGAGGAAUACCAGUGGCGAAGGCGGCUGCCUGGCCUGUUCUUGACGCUGAGGCGCGAAAGCUGGGGGAGCAAACGGG